rnacentral:rRNA from 1 species
ACGGGAGGCAGCAGUGAGGAAUAUUGGUCAAUGGAGGCAACUCUGAACCAGCCAUCUCGCGUGAAGGAAUACGGCCCUACGGGUCUUAAACUUCUUUUAUAGGGGGAUAAAGUGAGAUACGCGUAUCUUUUUGUAGGUACCCUAUGAAUAAGCAUCGGCUAACUCCGUGCCAGCAGCCGCGGUAAUACGGAGGAUGCGAGCGUUAUCCGGAUUUAUUGGGUUUAAAGGGUGCGCAGGCGGCACGUUAAGUCAGCGGUGAAAUGUCGGGGCUCAACCCGGGCACUGCCGUUGAAACUGGCGAGCUUGAGUACGGAUGAAGUUGGCGGAAUGUGAUGUGUAGCGGUGAAAUGCUUAGAUAUGUCACAGAACACCGAUUGCGAAGGCAGCUGACCAGCAUACAACUGACGCUGAGGCACGAAAGUGCGGGGAUCAAACAGGAUUAGAUACCCUGGUA